ACAUUUUUUACCAUAUCAUCUGAAAAACUCCUCAUGACGCCAUAGCACCCAUUAAAAUAGAGUGUUUGGAAAAAAAACGAAAUCUUUUGGUCCAGUGUAGAGGGCGUAGUCAGAAGAAAACGGCAACCAAUAGAAGUAAUACUCAUCAUCACUUCUAUUGGUUUCUGACACGUCCAUCAACCGCCAGCACUCACCCCUCCUCCCUGCGCGUUCACCGACUCGUGAACUUGACCGACCCCGCCCCCAUUAUUCAUGCACACGCGACGAGGCUCAUCAUCACUCGGCUAGUAGCAAGGUAACGAGAGUUAGCAGCAGGCUGAGCUACUUGGAAACUUUGGUGGCUUUUGCAGAGCUACAGGAAGAACUUUAGCUUUUGGAACACUGGACUAACCAUGUCAGGAUAACAUACUCCCUUGGAUUAUAGUCAUCGGACUCGCAAGACCAGACUCCAACACGGGCUGAAAAUUGGACAUGGGACCUGACACUCUUGGACACAGAUGUCGGCUACGGCAGCGGCUUCAAAUACGCUUUGGUGACCAUAUUUCUAAUCGAGAGUUGUGCGAACGAGCCAGACAAACCAGCUGGGAGGACGGAAGCACCCCUUCUCCACCUGCGUUCAGUAACUACGGAUUCAUCCCGUGGUCAACAGCAGACAGGGUCCUUCCACAACCACAUACUUAUGCCAGUAAAAGCUACAGCUUUUCUCCUCCGAUCCAAGAAGCCUGGACUGCAGUCACCAUCUCAACACACCAACCAAGAGAAAGGCGGAUGGCUCAAUUCAAUAUGGAAAAUUGCACAAUAAAAGUUCCAGGACAUGAAGGCUGCAUACUGUGAACGUCAACCUUCAGGGCACCGUCCUGCGCAGAAGACUUUCUACCCUAAGAGGGAUGGCUGACCGCAGACACUCACAACCAGCACAGACGCCUCCAACCUCAGACUAGGCCCUUCACAGUUGCUGCACUUACCCACCUUCCCCGAGUUUUUGUGUGGUAAUGACAUGUAAAUAUAGUAUAAAGUAAUGUAUCUAGUGUCAUGUGUAAUACAUUGUUUAAAUUGUCCAUACAUUUCAAUGACGGUAAAUAUUGGUGGACACAAUUUGACUGUG